rnacentral:rRNA from 1 species
UACGAAGGGGGCUAGCGUUGCUCGGAAUUACUGGGCGUAAAGCGCACGUAGGCGGCUUUCUAAGUCGGGGGUGAGAUCCUGGAGCUCAACUCCAGAACUGCCUUCGAUACUGGAGAGCUCGAGUCCGGGAGAGGUGAGUGGAACUGCGAGUGUAGAGGUGAAAUUCGUAGAUAUUCGCAAGAACACCAGUGGCGAAGGCGGCUCACUGGCCCGGUACUGACGCUGAGGUGCGAAAGCGUGGGGAGCAAACAGG